rnacentral:miRNA from 1 species
AGCAGAGCUAGUGGCCUGAGGUC